UUUUUGUGUCUUUUCUCUGUGGGUCAGUACUCCAGUGUGUUCUUUCAGCCACUGGCGGUGUAGAUCAGCUGCUUAUCUGGGAAAACUCCAUCAGCAGGAGACGAGGGGACCCCAAAUGAAAGUUGCCUCUAUUUACUGUUUUAUUUUGUUUUUUAACUUAGGUCUUUUUUUGUAUCUUUCCAUCCUCCAGAGAUGAUCAUCUCUUCAGAUAAACAUGAUCGGGGGAACCUAGGAGGCCAGGGGAGGAUAGAGGGAUAAGAGCUGAGUCACGGUCUCUGUCUAUGGGAGAUGCCUUAUAUGACCCCAGGGGUGGUCUUCACUCUUAUUUUGCCCCCACCUUCCUGCCUCCACUUAAACUUUCUCCCUGUUCGCCUCUGAUUAGCUCUAGAGACCUAGCUGUAAGAGCCGGUAGAGGGCUUUGGAAGGACACUUCCAGGGUUAGUUGAGUCUGAUGCACAGGAAAUGUGAGUGGAGAUAUUUUAAUUUGGGCACAGGUGUGUAGCUUGGAGUGCUAUUGGCUCCCUCUGGUUUGAUUCUGAUGGAAUUGAGAGCAGUGGGUUUGUGCUGAAAUGUGUCUGCAAUAUCAGGAGGGGAAAGAAUGAGUUCAGGGCUGGUGAUCCUUUUGUGAUACUGUGUUGUUUGUAUGGGUCCUUCCCUAUGGUUCUGCAGAAGAAAUUAGUAUGUUGGUCAUUUGAAAAAGUUAAUUUUACCUCAUAGACUCCCUGCCACACUUGAGUAACUUUUGAAAAGUGUAAUAUUUUACCCAAAUCCCAUUAAAUGUUAGACACUCUUUCUGUAUUCCCGUUACUGUCCUUUAAGUGAUUAGCGAAAUAUUUAUGUGAACCCAGGAGGCUGAUUUAUUUAAUUUACUGUUUUUUUAAAUAACUUGCUUCUCCCUAGUGCUGGGUGCUUUCUGAGGCCCAGACAACCGCCAUGAUUUCUUCGGUAAUAAUCAUCAGCCUUCCCCUGACCUGCAUCCUCAAGGGACUGCUUUGAGCGGUCCCAGCUUUAAUGAAGCCUCUAGCUGUCCCUCCCCCUGGGUGGGUGGUAAUAAAUCCAGGCAAAAUAUCCCUACCAAGGGACAGUGUAACUCAUUUUAGAGUAUAGCAGAUCAAGACUCAGCAUCCUGAUUCUCAGAUCCCAGGGACAACCAUGGAAGAGAUGUAGAAAUGAAAAUGUCACCUAUCGAAUUGGACUUGGACCUCAUGCUCUGGGAGUCUUUCUUGUCUUAGGUCUGAGGGUUUCAGCCGUGGUUAAUUUGAUGGCCGGGGUGCUCCGGAAAUUCUUAAGCAUCUGCCUCUGUCUGGGUAAUCAGGCAAUUGCUGAUGAGGAUGGACUCUGAGAUGUUGCUCUAGAAAUAGAUAACAGAUCUUAGAGUCUAAGUCCUAAAAUCAUGGUGGUAAAAGAUUGGUCAGAAGAGAGCCUCUGAGUGGGGAGACAUACUUCGCACAAUGUGCAUCCCCCCAGCCCCUUUGUAUUUGCCAGCAUAAAGCACUUAUAUACAUUCCUGGCACAUGCCUCCUUGGCGAGCCUGUGCUCAAGUUGCUCUUCAUAAUUAAAUUCUCAUUGUUGCCUGCAAGCACAGAUCUCAGGUGUUGUUUUAAGAUUUCAGGGCAAAAGCGGGUUUCCUAAUCUCUCCUGCUCUAAGGGUAACUGGCUACAUUUGUUUGUAAUGGACACAUGCCUGGCUGUGUGUGUGGGGGGGUAUCUUUCUUCAUUAAGCAUCUUUUGAAUGCAAAAGGCUAACAACAAAAAAAGACAAUAGCUUGGGUAUUUUUUAAACAUUUAUUUUUUUAUGUGUUGAUUUGGAAUCAUGGAAUGAAAAGCACACACAAAACGUGGAACACAAUAAAAGAUUAAUGGGAAACAAAGCCAUGAACUCAUCAAUGUCUCAACUCCACUAAAUUAUAGCCCUAAAGAAUCACAGUAACUCUUCUGUGUGUCACAGAACAGAGCCGAUUAUUGCCUGCUUCGGGUCUGACUCUGUAGCAACAUGGCUCAAUCAGCAGAGCAAUGCAGAAUGAAAAUGUUUAGUGUCAAUGCUUUUAACGCAGAGGUUCUCAACCCUUGGCUGCACAUCAGAAUCACCUAGGGAUCUCUUAAAAAUCAUAUGUGCCCCAGGUCUACUGAAUCAGAAUUUCUAAGUGUGAAUCCCAGAUAGCUUUUCUUUUUUUUUUUUUUCCCUGUCUCAAAGCUCCUCAGAGGCAUUUGAUGUUCCACUGUGUUUGGCUUUGGUAGAUAAAAGUAGAGAUCUGGUAGGAUUGAUUCUGGGUGGGGUCUUAUGAUUAAAAGUGAUGGCAUCUAACCCAAAUAAAUUCCUAUAGAUGUAAAUCUUGUUAAGCUUGCCUUAAGAAUUGUUUGAAGUAAGCAUAUUCUUUUACACUUUGGGGAAUUUUCACUUAUUCCAUAAUAAAGAUGUCAUCAUAGCCACUCAUUUCUUAAAUGAUGAGUUUAAAUUUUUUCCUCCUGGAAAACUCUUCCCUUAUAAAGCAUUAUUACAUAUUCUGUCCCCUCUGGAGGUAAGGAGAGAAAAUCAUUACCAUAGUUGUGAUAUUGAUUUAUAGUAAGAAAUGUAUGUAUUUGGUUUUAGUCCCUGUUUCUGGCACAGAGCUCCUAAAACCCUUGGAAUUUCCUAAAUGAUGAGAGCGAUAGAGUGUCUUUUGUUAUGUUAAUGAGGUGACUUUUAGAAAGCACCUGAGGGUAGGGGCUGGUUGCCAGGAGAACCAACCACAUGAUUGGAGGAUUGGAACUCUCAGUCCCGCCCCCUGACCCCCGGGGAAGAGAGAGGGCCUAGAAGUUAAACCAGCCACCAAUGAUUUAAUCAACUAUGCCUCUGUAAUGAAGCCUCCACAAAAACCCAAAAGGACUGGAUUCGGAGAGCUUCCGGGUUGGUGAACAGGUGGAGAUUGGAGGAGGGUGGUGUGCUCAGAGAGGGCAUGGAACCUCCGUGCCCUUUACUCUACCUUGCCCUGUGCAUAUGGCUGUUCCUGAGCUACACCAUUUUAUCGUAAACCUGUGAUCUAAAUUCUGCUUUGGUUACCGGAAUCUUCUCAGUAGUAUGCCUAUUGUAGCCUGCCAUAAAUGACUUCUGAUGAUGCAAGGAGACAUCAUCUUAGCACAAGAGGAAAGUAAGUUCUGAUUAGAUAUCUUUGACUAUCUGUAAAGUUAUGAUUUUAGACUUUCUGCUCUCCUUUCAAGGGCUAUCACCAACUUACCUAAACAUGAUUUUAUCUUCUUUUGCUCACUGAGUUGUUCCAUCAUAGUCAUAGUAAGUCAGUGAUAACGCUUCCAAAUUGUGAAACCUUAUAUAGACUGAUGAAAUGCCAACUAUCAGUGGUAGUCCUAGAUAGCCUGAGCCGUGUAAGGGUCUGAAUGUUUGAGGGAGAUAUCAGGCCAAGGGGCCUCCCGCAGAGCCCUUAACUUCAGCUGCUGUCUGUCUGUCUGAUACUGUGUACUCAGAUAUCGAGAAGGUUUUGGGUACAUUUUGGAGUACUCUGCUCUUCUGCUGAGGAGGCUGUGAAUGUGUGUACACUUGUGUGUGUUGAUGUUGUAUGUUACUUAUAAGCACUGUGGGAAAAAAGUAGGUAAUACCUGGAGAGAAUGGUCAUUGUAGAGAACUGUGCAUCUUUAGAAAUCCUUGUUUUCUUUGUUAUAUAGCAGAGUCUCUGCCAUUGUGAUGCACUGUAAUUUUAGAAAAGACUUUUAAAAUGUAUAUAGUUUUGGCCAUAUCCUUGUCUCACAGAAUCAGGCAGAGGUCUUAAUUUAAUUUUCUUACACAUCUCAUUCAGCUCUUUCUUGCCAUCUAAGCCAGCUUUUGAGCACUAGCCCUUGUGGUCUUACAUUCAUUUCCAUAACAACGGGUUGUUGUACCUCAAACUCUAGGGAUUGUGAUUUGAGGUGGGAGUGAAUAGCAGGAACCAGUGAAUGCUUAAAUGAGAAAUCUGUUUGUAAUGUCACAGACUUAUCAAAGGAGGGCAUGAGAGCUGGAAAGGAAGAUGGGAAAGACAGACACCCUGCUGGUGGAGUGAUAGUCUCCCUCCUUCCCAAUUUUCUGUGCCUAUUUCAUUGGGAGAUGCUUCUGAUUGCUUUAUGUGGCUUGCCUUUUCUUACUACUCCUUUCUUGCUGUGAACAUUCAUCCUUUGAGUGUGGUGGUGGUUUAGGCUAGACAACUGAUGUCUGGCUUUGGUAGUACAAAAAUACCUAUUUAUGCCCUGGCUUAUGUGGCUUAAUUGACAUCCAGUCUCUCUCUCUCCUCAGUCCAUAGCACCAACUAGCCUCUGUGAGCAUGUGGUCAGUGAGUUGCAGAAAUGACUAACAAAGGCUGCCAGCGUUCAGUCGUAGCACCUGAGUAGUCAGCCUAUGCUAGUAAUGUUUGACUAUAGGUAAUCAGUAUGACUUGGACGCAAAUUGCUCUGUACAUCUUUGCCAGCACAUUUUGUUCUUCUGUAUUUUCUUUGAUAUUAAAGUCACUGUUUAAAAAUGUAUGUUGGAAUAAUUGAAUAAAUACUUUAUGAAUGACUUUGAUUCUGUACACAUAAGGUGUUUUUUGAUUGUGUAGGUGGAGGUUGUUGCUUGGGUGGCAGAGUUAGAUUUUAUAUAUAGAAAUGAAGGAAAAAUGUGAUUUGCGGGGGUGCUUUGCAGGUUGGCCAAGUUCUUCAAAGUGACACACAUCUCUGUUCCUUUGAAAAUUAUAGACAUGCUGGUGUGCCCUAUCAUUAAAUGCAUCGUCAAAGUCCCUGUAUCUUAUGCUCUCGAUAUAAAUAGCACAUGUGACUGAGAAAAGACCCUUAAGUGUAGGAUUGCCUAUGGUAAUUCUUGCCCUUGUCUCUCUGAGGAAUCACGGACUUGAAAUAAUUUUUGCUUCUGUUUUUCACUCAGGUAGAUCACCAACACUUGCACUAAUAUGUGGCAGAUUACCAGAAUGCAUUGUUUCUGUUCAAGGCUCAUAGGGUAUUCCAAGGAAUUGGCAUUGGGUAUUGAGGAACAUUCCUAUGAGAAUGUGUUCUGGAUACAAAUGGUUUCUCUAGCUAUAGUCUUGGAGGGAAAUAGGAGUCAGACAAUUGAAAAACUUCAUGUUCAGCCUGGAAGAUCUUUUAGAAAAAAACUUUUUUUUUCCAACUGACAGUUAUCGGAGCCUGGUUGACAUAUUUGACAAUACCCAACACCAGUGGUUUGAGGAAAUGGCUUUUGUUUGUAUAGGCCCACAGCAUGAUGUUUUCUUAUAAGGGAUAAUUUUUCAGGACAUGCCACUGUAAUAAUUUUUAGCAGUGCUUUAGCUAAGGUGGCUCAUGCCUUUCCAUUAUCAGUGUCACCAUAUUGUAUUGUCACUUGGGUUUUCUUUCCUUUCUUUGCCUUUUAUUUGAUUAAUGCAGGAGGACACUGUAUGUUGUAGACAACAGGGAAGAAUAGUAUAUCUUGAUAAUUGUAGAAUUAAUAUAUUUUUGUAUGAUGAUGGGCCCAAUUGUAGUCAUUGUCUCCCCUCCUCACCCAUUUCUCUGUGUGUUGUGUGUUUUAUUGCUUUGGAUUAGGAAACAUCUUGAUCUUUUAUGUUUCUUAUAUGUUUGUUUAUCAACUGCUCAUGUCAAUGUUGUGUUAUCCUGUUCCUUUGAUCUUGUUUCUUGGCUCAGUGGAAACAUAAGCUUGCAUGAAAACAGGAUGUUGAAAUGAGCAUCUGGCACUCAUGAGAGUCAUUCCAUCUUGGUUGGAUUGUGCAUAUAAUUCUUUGUUUUGCUUUCCUGGCCCUGUCUCCUGUAUCUUCGUAUUGACAUCUUGUCUCCUGCCUUAUGACUCCAUGCAAACAGACCAUAAUACUUGGUAAUAUGACUGCUCUGACUAGAUCUUUUCACCUUUUCUUAGGAUGUGCCCAGUGAGCAGAGCUAGUAUGCAUGGUACUAUACUUUCAGAGCACUGCCACCCCUCUUUGGGUGCUAGACCAUGACCACAUCAGCCAGGUGUAUGCUGGCAGUUAUAUGUCUGAAUUGGUAGAUAUGAAGUCUCUUAAACCCUCUAUAUGGCAAAAGUAAUUUUAAAAUCAGUUUAGAAGUUUUUUAAAGCUACCCUAAUAGUAUGUGUGAGAAUUAAGCUAAUUACCUGGCGAGAAUAGAAGAGAGUUUAAAUACGUUUUCCUCUAAAUUAUAAUCUAAUUGAGCAAUAAGCUUAAACACACAAAGUUUAAAAAAGUAUGGGUUAUAGAACAUUCCUACUUCAGUAGAAAAUAAUUUCAUAAGGCUAUACGAAUUGGUUGUCAGAAUUGGUUUGCUGUAGUUGUUAAGAGGCAGGAGAAAGUGUUUCAAGGUGGGAGAUGGAAUAGGUUGGCUUAGUAAAAGAAAUGGCACUGGAACAGGACUGGAAGGGUGAGUGAGUGAAAGGCGCAAGGCACAUGUAGGUGCUGGGAGUAAAAAGUUUUUCUAAAUCAGUGGCCCCCAAAUCAUGAAUACACAUAGGAAUCAUGGAGGAGCUUACAAAAAAGUACAAAGAAAGAGCAACAAUAACGAAGACAGUCUGGUGCCGCACCCCUCCUAAUUAAGCCAGAAUAUCUGGGUGUGGAAGGGGGAUAUACAGACAUGGGUAUAUAUCCAACAGUUUCCCCAAAGCCAUCAGUGAGAUGGCUUUUGGUGGUAUUAAUGGUGAGAUGUGGACAGUCUGAAUUUGGUAGUAGACUUGGAAAAGGAAAGCAUGCAAGAAAGUUCAUGCCAGGAAGAGUUAGCAAGGUUUGUCGAUUGAUUAAAUUUGGGAGGAGGUGGUUAAGUUGUAGAUCACUGGAUGGGAUUGUCAGUAGAGAUUUAAGAUUAUGAUCCAAGGGGAUAAGACUUGAGUUAAUAUAAAUAGAUAAAUAGAGGUGAUGCUGGUUUGGGAGACUGGGUAACCACAAGAAGUUCAGCUUCAGACAAGUUGGAGGCACAGCCUACAAGUGGAAAUGUUCAAGCAAGGAGUUGGAAAUAAGUGAGGUGUAGCUAGACAAAAUGGUGUGUGGCAAGAAAAAUUUUGAUUCCAUCUGCACAGAGGUUUAUUAUUAAUCCAGUAAGGGGCUACACAUGCUGCAGAUGGGUCAAAGAAUAAGUCUUGGGAAGACUUGAGGGUUGGGUUGGAGGAUUUGGAGGCUCUCAAUGUGCUUAUUGGCCAGAGUGGAAAGAUUCAGAGCUGGCCACUGGUGGGAGUGAUGAGGAAGAUUAAGGUAACA